UUGAUGCUGGUGGAGGAACUGAUACAAAGUAACAAGAGAAACCACCACCAUCCACUUUGCAGGAAGUGAGGCUUUGAAUCCCAGCGACAUUCAUUCCGCAACAUACUAACCACAUCCUGGUGAUCCCAGCUUCAGAGAGGAGAACACGGGGACUUGAGUUCACUGUUGCGGUGAAGUCCUGCUCUGGCCCCAGGCAGAAGUCAAGAUCAAAGCUCACACUGCAAAUAUUGUGCUGAUUAAAACCAAACUUUCUGCUUUUGAUGUGGGCCAACCUCCAUUGCUGGUAGGAACAAAGGAGGAGUAUAGCAAAAAGAUACUAGCAAUGUUUUCUUAUCCUGGGUUACCACCUACAUUGUUUCUUGGGGAGAAGGAUGCCUGACUCCUACAGAGUAAUGAGACACAAGGAGGGUGCCUGAGCCAUUUCUACAGACUCCAAGAGGUUCUAACCAGCCCAGGUCACUUCCACUUUUGAGACCUGUGGAC
rnacentral:lncRNA from 1 species